rnacentral:rRNA from 1 species
UACGGGAGGCAGCAGUGGGGAAUAUUGCACAAUGGGCGAAAGCCUGAUGCAGCUAUGCCGCGUGUAUGAAGAAGGCCUUAGGGUUGUAAAGUACUUUCAUCGGGGAGGAAAAAACAAAACUAAUAAUUUUAUUUCUUGACGUUACCCGAAAAAGAAGCACCGGCUAACUCCGUGCCAGCAGCCGCGGUAAUACGGAGGGUGCUAGCGUUAAUCAGAAUUACUGGGCGUAAAGAGCACGUAGGUGGUUUUUUUAAAGUCAGAUGUGAAAUCCCUGGGCUUAACCUAGGAACUGCAUUUUGAAACUGAAAUACUAGAGUAUCGUAGAGGGAGGUAGAAUUCUAGGUGUAGCGGUGAAAUGCGUAGAUAUCUGGAGGAAUACCUGUGGCGAAAGCGGCCUCCUAAACGAAUACUGACACUGAGGUGC